rnacentral:SRP_RNA from 1 species
GCUGGGCAUGGUGGUGCAUGCCUAUAACCCCAGCUACUCAGGAGGCUGAGGUGGGAGGAUCACUUGAGCCCAGGAGGUUGGGGCUGCAGUGAGCCAUGAUCAUGCCACUGCACUCCAGUCUGGGCAACAGAGUAAGACCCUGUCUCAA